UGAACGCUGGCGGCGUGCCUAAUACAUGCAAGUCGAGCGAACAGACGAGGAGCUUGCUCCUCUGACGUUAGCGGUGGACGGGUGAGUAACACGUGGAUAACCUACCUAUAAGACUGGGAUAACUUCGGGAAACCGGAGCUAAUACCGGAUAAUAUAUUGAACCGCAUGGUUCAAUAGUGAAAGACGGUUUUGCUGUCACUUAUAGAUGGAUCCGCGCCGCAUUAGCUAGUUGGUAAGGUAACGGCUUACCAAGGCAACGAUGCGUAGCCGACCUGAGAGGGUGAUCGGCCACACUGGAACUGAGACACGGUCCAGACUCCUACGGGAGGCAGCAGUAGGGAAUCUUCCGCAAUGGGCGAAAGCCUGACGGAGCAACGCCGCGUGAGUGAUGAAGGUCUUCGGAUCGUAAAACUCUGUUAUUAGGGAAGAACAAAUGUGUAAGUAACUAUGCACGUCUUGACGGUACCUAAUCAGAAAGCCACGGCUAACUACGUG
rnacentral:rRNA from 1 species